CCUACAGGGGGGCUGCAGUGGGGAAUAUUGGACAAUGGGGGCAACCCUGAUCCAGCCAUGCCGCGUGUGGGAAGAAGGCCCUCGGGUUGUAAAGCACUUUCAGUGAGGAAGAACGCCUGGUGGGUAAUACCCAUCAGGAAAGACAUCACUCACAGAAGAAGCACCGGCUAACUCCGUGCCAGCAGCCGCGGUAAUACGGAGGGUGCGAGCGUUAAUCGGAAUUACUGGGCGUAAAGCGCGCGUAGGUGGCUUGAUAAGCCGGUUGUGAAAGCCCCGGGCUCAACCUGGGAACGGCAUCCGGAACUGUCAAGCUAGAGUGCAGGAGAGGAAGGUAGAAUUCCCGGUGUAGCGGUGAAAUGCGUAGAGAUCGGGAGGAAUACCAGUGGCGAAGGCGGCCUUCUGGACUGACACUGACACUGAGGUGCGAAAGCGUGGGUAGCAAACAGGAUUAGAUACCCCUGUAGUC
rnacentral:rRNA from 1 species